UUGCAUCUCUAAAGCAACUGCUGCUGAAAAUGUCUCCUCCAUCCCACUGGGAGUGGCAGGAGUGGUGAUUGCUGACCACGGAUUGCCCACUCCAUGUCAGCGCCUGUUACUUAGAAAGAGAAAAUAGAUCAUUAAAAGGGAUAUAUCAGCAGGAGAAUGGGUUGAAAGUGCUUUAGGAAAAUGAAAAAGAAAUAAAAGUAAAGGUGCA
rnacentral:lncRNA from 1 species